AAUGAACGCUGGCGGCAUGCCUAACACAUGCAAGUCGAACGAAAAGACCGGGACCUGUGGCGCCUGGGUGUGUCACGGGACGGAAGAUGCACUCAGGUUUGGCAUACCUCUCCGACAGGGGUGCCAAUAGCGGAUCAUGUCUUCGGACCAAGGAUUUAUUGAAUUUGGUUGUGCCAGCGUUGGAUUCGCUAGUUGGUAUGGUAAAAGCCUACUAAGGCGACGAUCCAUAGCUGGGCUGAGAGGAUGGUCAGCAACUCUUGGACUAGGACGCGGCCCAGACUCCUACGGGAGGCAGCAGUGGGGAAUGGUGGAAAGUGGGCGGAGGGCUGAUCCAGCUAGGCCGCGUGAGUGAUGAAGGCCGGAGAGAUGUAAAGUGCAAUUAACCGGGAUGAUAAUGACGGUACCGAGUGAAUAAGCCCCGGCUAACUCCGUG
rnacentral:rRNA from 1 species